rnacentral:rRNA from 1 species
CCUACGGGAGGCAGCAGUGGGGAAUAUUGGGCAAUGGGCGCAAGCCUGACCCAGCAACGCCGCGUGAAGGAAGAAGGCUUUCGGGUUGUAAACUUCUUUUGUCAGGGACGAAGCAAGUGACGGUACCUGACGAAUAAGCCACGGCUAACUACGUGCCAGCAGCCGCGGGAAUACGGAGGUGGCAAGCGUUAUCCGGAUUUACUGGGUGUAAGGGGCGAGUAGGCGGGAUUGCAAGUCAGAUGUGAAAACCACGGGGUCAACCUAUAGCCUGCAUUUGAAACUGGAAUUCUUGAGUACAGGGGAGGCAGACGGAAUUCCUAGUGUAGCGGUGAAAUGCGUAGAUAUUAGGAGGAACACCAGUGGCGAAGGCGGUCUGCUGGACAGCAACUGACGCUGAGGCGCGAAAGCGUGGGGAGCAAACAGGAUUAGAUACCCGGGUAGUC